rnacentral:rRNA from 1 species
AUUGAACGCUGGCGGCAUGCCUUACACAUGCAAGUCGAACGGCAGCACGGGUGCUUGCACCUGGUGGCGAGUGGCGAACGGGUGAGUAAUACAUCGGAACAUGUCCUGUAGUGGGGGAUAGCCCGGCGAAAGCCGGAUUAAUACCGCAUACGAUCUACGGAUGAAAGCGGGGGACCUUCGGGCCUCGCGCUAUAGGGUUGGCCGAUGGCUGAUUAGCUAGUUGGUGGGGUAAAGGCCUACCAAGGCGACGAUCAGUAGCUGGUCUGAGAGGACGACCAGCCACACUGGGACUGAGACACGGCCCAGACUCCUACGGGAGGCAGCAGUGGGGAAUUUUGGACAAAGGGCGAAAGCCUGAUCCAGCAAUGCCGCGUGUGUGAAGAAGGCCUUCGGGUUGUAAAGCACUUUUGUCCGGAAAGAAAUCCUUGGCCCUAAUACGGUCGGGGGAUGACGGAACCGGAAGAAUAAGCACCGGCUAACUACGUG